rnacentral:misc_RNA from 1 species
AAGUCGUCACAAGGUUUCCGUAGGUAAACCUGCGGAAGGAUCAUUACCAAAUCCAAAUUCAACCACUUGUAAACAUGUCUUGUAUUGGGAGGGUUGUGAGAGCUUGCUCUUACUUUCCAUCAAUUGCUUUUGCAAUUGUUGGGAGCCUCCCAUUAGGCGCAUGCGCGCUUCUUUGUUGAAAGAAAAUAAGCCACAAACCAUUGUGAACCACAAUUCACAAUUAUCAUUUGGUUUUUACCACAAAAACACAAUGACAACUUUUAACGGUGGAUCUCUUGGCUCAU